GCUUCUAAGGGUUGUUGCCUAAAUAGCAUUUUUGAUCAGAUAGUAAAUACAAAAUGAUCACAUUAUUACAUAUACAGAAAUGAAUUACAUUAUAUUGAAGGGACACUAUAGUCACCAGAACAACUACGGCUAUUGAAUUUGUUCUGGUGAGUAGAAUCAUUCACUUCUGGCUUUUUGCUGUAAACACUGUCUAUUCAGAGAAAAUGCAGUGUUUACAUUACAGCCUAGUGAUAACUUCACUGGCCACUCCUCAGAUGGCUG